rnacentral:rRNA from 1 species
GAUGAACGCUGGCGGCGUGCCUAAUACAUGCAAGUCGAGCGAAUGGAUUAAGAGCUUGCUCUUAUGAAGUUAGCGGCGGACGGGUGAGUAACACGUGGGUAACCUGCCCAUAAGACUGGGAUAACUCCGGGAAACCGGGGCUAAUACCGGAUAACGUUUUGAACCGCAUGGUUCGAAAUUGAAAGGCGGCUUCGGCUGUCACUUAUGGAUGGACCCGCGUCGCAUUAGCUAGUUGGUGAGGUAACGGCUCACCAAGGCAACGAUGCGUAGCCGACCUGAGAGGGUGAUCGGCCACACUGGGACUGAGGCACGGCCCAGACUCCUACGGGAGGCAGCAGUAGGGAAUCUUCCGCAAUGGACGAAAGUCUGACGGAGCAACGCCGCGUGAGUGAUGAAGGCUUUCGGGUCGUAAAACUCUGUUGUUAGGGAAGAACAAGUGCUAGUUGAAUAAGCUGACACCUUGACGGUACCUAACCAGAAAGCCACGGCUAACUACGUGCCAGCCGCCGCCGUAA